UGCAAGUCGAGCGGUAGCACAGAGAGCUUGCUCUCGGGUGACGAGCGGCGGACGGGUGAGUAAUGUCUGGGAAACUGCCUGAUGGAGGGGGAUAACUACUGGAAACGGUAGCUAAUACCGCAUAACGUCGCAAGACCAAAGUGGGGGACCUUCGGGCCUCAUGCCAUCAGAUGUGCCCAGAUGGGAUUAGCUGGUAGGUGGGGUAACGGCUCACCUAGGCGACGAUCCCUAGCUGGUCUGAGAGGAUGACCAGCCACACUGGAACUGAGACACGGUCCAGACUCCUACGGGAGGCAGCAGUGGGGAAUAUUGCACAAUGGGCGCAAGCCUGAUGCAGCCAUGCCGCGUGUGUGAAGAAGGCCUUCGGGUUGUAAAGCACUUUCAGCGGGGAGGAAGGCGGUGAGGUUAAUAACCUCAUCGAUUGACGUUACCCGCAGAAGAAGCACCGGCUAACUCCGUGCCAGCAGCCGCGGUAAUACGGAGGGUGCAAGCGUUAAUCGGAAUUACUGGGCGUAAAGCGCACGCAGGCGGUCUGUCAAGUCGGAUGUGAAAUCCCCGGGCUCAACCUGGGAACUGCAUUCGAAACUGGCAGGCUAGAGUCUUGUAGAGGGGGGUAGAAUUCCAGGUGUAGCGGUGAAAUGCGUAGAGAUCUGGAGGAAUACCGGUGGCGAAGGCGGCCCCCUGGACAAAGACUGACGCUCAGGUGCGAAAGCGUGGGGAGCAAACAGGAUUAGAUACCCUGGUAGUCCACGCUGUAAACGAUGUCGAUUUGGAGGUUGUGCCCUUGAGGCGUGGCUUCCGGAGCUAACGCGUUAAAUCGACCGCCUGGGGAGUACGGCCGCAAGGUUAAAACUCAAAUGAAUUGACGGGGGCCCGCACAAGCGGUGGAGCAUGUGGUUUAAUUCGAUGCAACGCGAAGAACCUUACCUGGUCUUGACAUCCACAGAACUUUCCAGAGAUGGAUUGGUGCCUUCGGGAACUGUGAGACAGGUGCUGCAUGGCUGUCGUCAGCUCGUGUUGUGAAAUGUUGGGUUAAGUCCCGCAACGAGCGCAACCCUUAUCCUUUGUUGCCAGCGGUUAGGCCGGGAACUCAAAGGAGACUGCCAGUGAUAAACUGGAGGAAGGUGGGGAUGACGUCAAGUCAUCAUGGCCCUUACGACCAGGGCUACACACGUGCUACAAUGGCAUAUACAAAGAGAAGCGACCUCGCGAGAGCAAGCGGACCUCAUAAAGUAUGUCGUAGUCCGGAUUGGAGUCUGCAACUCGACUCCAUGAAGUCGGAAUCGCUAGUAAUCGUAGAUCAGAAUGCUACGGUGAAUACGUUCCCGGGCCUUGUACACACCGCCCGUCACACCAUGGGAGUGGGUUGCAAAAGAAGUAGGUAGCUUAACCUUCGGGAGGGCGCUU
rnacentral:rRNA from 1 species